rnacentral:rRNA from 1 species
UACGUAGGUGGCAAGCGAUACUCGGAAUCACUAGGCGUAAAGCGCGUGUAGGCGGUCCGGUAAGUCCGCUGUGAAAGUCGGGGGCUCAACCCUCGAAUGCCGGUGGAUACUGUCGGGCUAGAGUGCGGAAGAGGCGAGUGGAAUUCCUGGUGUAGCGGUGAAAUGCGCAGAUAUCAGGAGGAACACCAAUUGCGAAGGCAGCUCGCUGGGACGUUACUGACGCUGAGACGCGAAAGCGUGGGGAGCAAACAGG